GUGCCAGCUUUAACAACACAGAUACUAACACUGGAACAAUAUAAAGAAGCUUAGCUUGGCCCUUGCAAAAGGAUGACAUGCAAAUUCAAGGAGCAUUCCAUAUUUUG